UGUCUGGUGGGUAGUUUGACUGGGGCGGUCUCCUCCCAAAGAGUAACGGAGGAGCACGAAGGUUAGCUAAUCCUGGUCGGACAUCAGGAGGUUAGUGCAAUGGCAUAAGCUAGCUUGACUGCGAGAGUGACGGCUCGAGCAGGUGCGAAAGCAGGUCAUAGUGAUCCGGUGGUUCUGAAUGGAAGGGCCAUCGCUCAACGGAUAAAAGGUACUCCGGGGAUAACAGGCUGAUACCGCCCAAGAGUUCAUAUCGACGGCGGUGUUUGGCACCUCGAUGUCGGCUCAUCACAUCCUGGGGCUGAAGUAGGUCCCAAGGGUAUGGCUGUUCGCCAUUUAAAGUGGUACGCGAGCUGGGUUUAGAACGUCGUGAGACAGUUCGGUCCCUAUCUGCCGUGGGCGCUGGAGAAUUGAGGGGGGCUGCUCCUAGUACGAGAGGACCGGAGUGGACGCAUCACUGGUGUUCGGGUUGUCAUGCCAAUGGCACUGCCCGGUAGCUAAAUGCGGAAGAGAUAAGUGCUGAAAGCAUCUAAGCACGAAACUUGC
rnacentral:rRNA from 1 species